rnacentral:misc_RNA from 1 species
UACAGAGACCUCAAGCGUUAUCCGGUAUUAUUGGGCGUAAAGCGUCCGCAGGUGGUUGAACAAGUCUUUGGUCAAAUCUUGGGGCUUAACUCCAAGACUGCUGAGGAUACUGCUCAACUAGAGGCUGGAAGAGGCAAGCGGAACUGCCGGUGUAGUCGUAAUAAGCGUUGAUAUCGGCAGGAACACCAAAGGCGAAGGCAGCUUGCUAGUACAUGCCUGACACUCAGGGACGAAAGCGUGGGUAGCGAAUAGG